AUUGAACGCUGGCGGCAUGCCUUACACAUGCAAGUCGAACGGUAACGCGGGGCAACCUGGCGACGAGUGGCGAACGGGUGAGUAAUGCAUCGGAACGUGCCCAGUAGUGGGGGAUAGCCCGGCGAAAGCCGGAUUAAUACCGCAUACGACCUACGGGUGAAAGGGGGGGAUCGCAAGACCUCUCGCUAUUGGAGCGGCCGAUGUCAGAUUAGGUAGUUGGUGGGGUAAAGGACUACCAAGCCGACGAGCUGUAGCUGGUCUGGGAGGACGGACAUCGACACUGGGACUGAGACACGGCCCAGACUCCUACGGGAGGCAGCAGUGGGGAAUUUUGGACAAUGGGCGCAAGCCUGAUCCAGCCAUGCCGCGUGCGGGAAGAAGGCCUUCGGGUUGUAAACCGCUUUUGUCAGGGAAGAAAUCUUUUGAGUUAAUACCUCGGAAGGAUGACGGUACCUGAAGAAUAAGCACCGGCUAACUACGUGCCAGCCGCCGCCGUAAUAC
rnacentral:rRNA from 1 species